rnacentral:rRNA from 1 species
UACAGAGGGUGCGAGCGUUAAUCGGAGUUACUGGGCGUAAAGGGCGCGUAGGCGGUUAAUUAAGUUGGAUGUGAAAUCCCUGGGCUUAACCUAGGAAUGGCAUACAAAACUGGUUGACUGGAGUACUGUAGAGGGUAGUGGAAUUUCCGGUGUAGCGGUGAAAUGCGUAGAGAUCGGAAGGAACACCAGUGGCGAAGGCGGCUACCUGGACAGAUACUGACGCUGAGGCGCGAGAGCGUGGGGAGCAAACAGG